GUGGGCUGCAGCAUGGCGGCGAAGGCGUGCAGGGGGGUUCGAGGCAUUCGGUCGUGUUCGCCCCGCUUUGUUCGCCUUUACCUUGGGGUGACGAAGUCUGUCUGAGGCCUUUCAGCACCGACUCUCACUCUUUGCUAAGACAUGGGCAGAAAGGUUUUUAUCUCCCAUUGGUGUCACCCAGAGCCCAGUCAUGGAGGUUGCCCUAGAAGGAAUAAUCUUACUUCACAGCUCAGCCACCAAUACUUAGAAGAACUGCUGAGAAAAAAGCCUGUGCAGAACUUCUCAUGUAGUACCGAG
rnacentral:lncRNA from 1 species